rnacentral:rRNA from 1 species
UACGUAGGUGGCAAGCGUUGUCCGGAUUUACUGGGCGUAAAGAGCGCGCAGGCGGUCGAUUUAGUCGUGUGUGAAAGCCCCCGGCUCAACUGGGGAGGGUCACGCGAUACUGAUCGACUCGAAGGCAGGAGAGGGUAGUGGAAUUCCCGGUGUAGUGGUGAAAUUCGUAGAUAUCGAGAAGAACACCGGUGGCGAAGGCGGCCAUCUGGACAGAUACUGACGCUGAGACGCGAAAGCGUGGGGAGCAAACAGG